UACGUAGGGCGCAAGCGUUAUCCGGAAUUAUUGGGCGUAAAGGGCUCGUAGGCGGUCCAUCGCGUCGGGAGUGAAAAGCUGGGGCUUAACCCCAGUCCUGCUUCCGAUACGGGUGGACUAGAGGUAGGUAGGGGAGAUCGGAAUUCCUGGUGUAGCGGUGAAAUGCGCAGAUAUCGGGAGGAACACCAAUGGCGAAGGCAGCUCGCUGGGACGUUACUGACGCUGAGACGCGAAAGCGUGGGGAGCAAACAGG
rnacentral:rRNA from 1 species